rnacentral:lncRNA from 1 species
UUAAAACGUGUGUCUAGUGGUCUAGUCUAAGUGCUAAUUUUGAUUCACUAUUCAGUAUUGUAUUCCCUAUUGUAGUAUUUUCUAAUUUUCUCUACUGUAUAUAUAUUAUAAUGAAGAGGUAUGAGUAUACAUAGACUUUAUACUAAGAAUAAUUAAUAUCUUAUAUGCAACCUAGUGUACAAGUCUGUGGUGAUGAGUAUACUGUUGCCGUAAUACCAUCGAGUAUAUAUAAGUUCUGUCGUUCUGUUCACAGGCAUAAAAUAAGAUACCUAUACAGGUAUAUAAAACAAAGUAUAUCUUAGUUCAUGUAUACGGCUAAUGCACUUAUUUACUAUCUGGUGAUUACAAUUCACAAGUUACAAUGACGAUGCUCAACAGUCAACAGUAUAAGUGUGAACAUCCUCAACUAUAAUUUAUCAUGAUUAUUAUUAAUUAAUUAACAAUUAAGGAACACAUGGAAUGGGAUGGCUAAUUAACUAUAUAACACAUAUUGAUACUCCUUUUCAUACAAUGAGUUGGUCCUCCAGUAAUAGCUUUUAAUCCAGCAAAUUAAAGUCAUGAAUCCUCAAUGAAAGAAGAGACGCAAAUGAGGUACGCUGUCCAAAAAUACAACUGAAUUCAUCGCCCAAGCAAACAUCUUCCAUUUCACCUUCAUCAAUGCAGUAUAUUGACCAUGAACUUUCCCUUGGUCCAGAGGCAGUUACAGCAAAUACUAAUAUAAUGAUCAAAGGCUACAUCAUCUGUCAUCAUUACAAUUAUACGGUCAACUGGUAUACCAUUAUUCAACAAUGUUUGGUAUGCAUGUGAAAC